rnacentral:rRNA from 1 species
GGUUAAAAAGCUCGUAGUUGGUUCUGCGUGCCACGCUGUCGGUUCACCGCCUGCCGGUGCAACUGGCAUGCCGUGGCAUGUCCUGUCGGUGGCGGAUAGGCUUCGCGGCGUGCCCUAUGCGGUAUACCAGCGUGUAGGUUGCUGCGCCGCGUUGUCCUUGUACGCCGGCUCAAUCCUACCGCGGUGCUCUUUACCGAGUGUCGAGGUAGGCCGACACUGUUUACUUUGAACAAAUUAGAGUGCUUAAAGCAGGCUCUUAAAUCAGCCUGAAUAGUGGUGCAUGGAAUAAUGGAAAAGGACCUUGGUUCUAUUUUGGUUGGUUCCGGAAUCCAAGGUAAUGAUCAAUAAGGACAGGCGGGGGCAUUCGAAUUGCAACGUUAGAGGGGAAUUCUUGGAUCGUCCAAGACGCCUAAAGGAAAGAUUUGCCA